rnacentral:rRNA from 1 species
CACUGGUACUGAGACACGGACCAGACUCUUACGGGAGGCAGCAGUAAGGAAUAUUGGUCAAUGGGCGGAAGCCUGAACCAGCCAUGCCGCGUGCAGGAUGACUGCCCUAUGGGUUGUAAACUGCUUUUGUCCGGGAAUAAACCUAAAUACGUGUAUUUAGCUGAAUGUACUGGAAGAAUAAGGAUCGGCUAACUCCGUGCCAGCAGCCGCGGUAAUACGGAGGAUCCGAGCGUUAUCCGGAUUUAUUGGGUUUAAAGGGUGCGUAGGCGGCCUGUUAAGUCAGGGGUGAAAUACGGUGGCUCAACCAUCGCAGUGCCUUUGAUACUGAUGGGCUUGAAUCCAUUUGAAGUGGGCGGAAUAAGACAAGUAGCGGUGAAAUGCAUAGAUAUGUCUUAGAACUCCGAUUGCGAAGGCAGCUCACUAAGCUGGUAUUGACGCUGAUGCACGAAAGCGUGGGGAUCGAACAGGAUUAGAUACCCUGGUAGUCCACGCCCUAAACGAUGAUAACUCGAUGUUGGCGAUAGACAGCCAGCGUCUUAGCGAAAGCGUUAAGUUAUCCACCUGGGGAGUACGCCCGCAAGGGUGAAACUCAAAGGAAUUGACGGGGGCCCGCACAAGCGGAGGAGCAUGUGGUUUAAUUCGAUGAUACGCGAGGAACCUUACCCGGGCUUGAAAGUUAGUGAAGGUAGCAGAGACGCUACCGUCCUUCGGGACACGAAACUAGGUGCUGCAUGGCUGUCGUCAGCUCGUGCCGUGAGGUGUUGGGUUAAGUCCCGCAACGAGCGCAACCCCUAUGUUUAGUUGCCAGCAUGUUAUGGUGGGGACUCUAAACAGACUGCCUGCGCAAGCAGCGAGGAAGGUGGGGACGACGUCAAGUCAUCAUGGCCCUUACGUCCGGGGCUACACACGUGCUACAAUGGAUGGUACAGCGGGCAGCUAGCUGGCAACAGCAUGCUAAUCUCUAAAAGCCAUUCACAGUUCGGAUUGGGGUCUGCAACUCGACCCCA